CUUCCUCUUAUUUUGUAGGGACCUGUCAAGCAACAACCUCAAUGGAUAAGGCAUAUUAAAUAGUAACACAAAUGGAGGAUAGCAGGAUGUGAUUGAUCAUUAUUCUUUCUGGAAUGACUUACCUCACAAGCACGGUAGCAAGUCUUCCACCCCCGAACCCUCACGCCAUCGACGCAGCUGUCUUCGGUCUCCCGUGCUUCCCUUUGAGAGAUCAAG